rnacentral:rRNA from 1 species
CACGCCCUAAACGAUGUCGACUGGGUGUUGGGGAAGCGAUUUCCCAGUACCGUAGCUAACGCGUGAAGUCGACCGCCUGGGGAGUACGGCCGCAAGGUUAAAACUCAAAGGAAUUGACGGGGACCCGCACAAGCGGUGGAUGAUGUGGAUAAUUCGAUGCAACGCGAACAACCUUACCUACCCCUGACAUGUCCGGAAGCCCGCUGAGAGGCGGGGGUGCCCGAAAGGGAACCGGAACACAGGUGCUGCAUGUAUGUCCUCAUGUCAAGGGUUGAGACGGUUGCGGUACUUAACCC